CUGCAGUGUAGAGUGGUUCUCUUUAGGCUGGGUAGCUGUUGGUCUUCAGUAUGGUUCCCCAGAGAGUCAUUGUGGGAUUUCUUCUGAUUGUGCUUGUCUCUAAUGUGUUUGGGUCUCUGGCUGAGCGUGAGCAGGCAUGUGCAGAGGGGCUCAUCUUAGCGCGGCUGAUCAGAAACUACAGAGAGACCAAAGGUGGAGCAAAACAGCUGUUCCAGGGGGAUGGAGAUGAACGUUCAGGCUCUGGAGAUUCUGCAGACUUCGUAGUGCUAACAUGAGAUGAAGACCUGAAGGGAAAGCAGCUGUCCAAGUGAAUUUGUCAACAUCCCAUAACCCUGCAGCAUCUGAGCAUCUGGCUCCAACUGCAUGCCUCACUGCUUCUCUGUCUUGGAAUAAAUGUU